UUAAGCCACUCAGUCGGUGGUAUUUUGUUGUGUGGCCUAAGCUGACUCAUACAGUGCUGAAUGAAUAAAUGAAUGAACGAACGAACAGAAAGCUGUCAUGAUGAUCCAAGGGAGAAGCUGGUGACCAGGGCAUAGAUGUCCAGCAAGGUGGCUGUUGGCAGUGACAUUGGGCAGGCCCGCCGGACAGUGGAGCAGCUGCGGAUGGAGGCAGGCAUCGACCGCGUGAAGGUGUCCAAGGCGGCCACCGACCUGCUGCAGUUCUGCACGGAGCAGGCCAAGAGUGACCCCUUCCUCGUGGGCAU